rnacentral:rRNA from 1 species
AUUGAACGCUGGCGGCAGGCCUAACACAUGCAAGUCGAACGAGUGGCGGACGGGUGAGUAAUGUCUGGGAAACUGCCUGAUGUAGGGAUAUAACUACUGGAAACGGUGGCUAAUAGCGCAUACCACCGGAUCGGGCGUGAUGGGAUUAGCUAGUAGGUGGGGUAACGGCUCACCUAGGCGACGAUCCCUAGCUGGUCUGAGAGGCUGACCAGCCACACUGGAACUGAGACACGGCCCAGACUCCUACGGGAGGCAGCAGUGGGGAAUAUUGCACAAUGGGCGCAAGCCUGAUGCAGCCAUGCCGCGUGUAUGAAGAAGGCCUUCGGGUUGUAAAGUACUUUCAGCGGGGAGGCGUUACCCGCAGAAGAAGCACCGGCUAACUCCGUGCCAGCAGCCGCGGUAAUUC